rnacentral:sRNA from 1 species
AGCUGUGCCGAAGCGAGUGCCACUUGUCUGCAGGGCCGUACCGCGGAACCCUCUUUGCCGACCAGCCAGUGAUGUUUGUCUCACCUGCCAGCAGCCCCCCAGUGGCCAAGCUCUGUGAACUAGUCCACCUGUGCGGAGGCCGGGUCAGCCAAGUCCCCCGCCAGGCUAGCAUCGUCAUCGGGCCCUACAGCGGAAAGAAGAAAGCAACAGUCAAGUAUCUGUCUGAGAAAUGGGUCUUAGACUGGCAAGCUUCCCACCCUGCGCACUGAGUGUUCUGACACAAUGGGAGCAUGUCCUGCAUCUAAUGGGACAUGUGGCUACCAAGCACUUGAACUGGCCAGUGAGACUGAGAACUGAAUGUUUCAUUGUAUUGAAUUUUGUUUCAUGUUAAUUUAAAAAGAUUCCAUCACCCAGCACAAGGUCUGUGCCUCUGAAAACUACCUAUUGUCACAAUGACAGUGACCUCACUGGCCUGUGGUGACUGCACACAGCUCGCAAAACUGUCUUUGGAUGUUCAAAUGAGAAACAAAACUGUGAAGAGAAGGAACUGGCGUAUACAAGAUGACUUUCGAUAUCAUGUUUGCCAUGUGUUGUGGUUCUUAAGAACUCUCAGGUGACUUUCUGAUGACUGAAUGUGUGUUUCAGAGAAGCUUCGGGCCUUUUUAUUUUACUAUUUUUUUUUUUGAGACGGAGUCUUGCUCUGUUUCCCAGGCUGGAGUGCAAUGGCACAAUCUCGGCUCACUGCAACCUCCACCUCCCAGGUUCAAGCGAU